ACGCUCGACACCUACGGGAGGCAGCAGUUGGGAAUAUUGGACAAUGGAGGAAACUCUGAUCCAGUGACGCCGCGUGAAGGAAGAAGGUCUUCGGAUUGUAAACUUAUUUUGUCAGGGAAGAAAAAAUGACUGUACCUGAAGAAAAAGCACCGGCUAACUACGUGCCCACAGCCGCGGUAAUCUGAGCGGGCUGGCAAGGC
rnacentral:rRNA from 1 species